CUUAGGAAGGCUUUGGGAUUUUACUAUUAUUAUUAUUAUGUUCUCUCAUCAUGAGCUGGGAACCAUAGCGAAGAGCUGAUCUGGCAGUGUAACAGAAGAAAAGUCCUGAAAUUACCAGUGUUUGAUGAAAUCUAGUGCACCCAUGCUUUGGGACAGCAGUAGAAGGCAGAUCCUUCUUCUUUUCAUCCACUGAUCUGGACCCUGGGUUCUUGUCUGAGUUGCCUCAUAGGAAAGAAAUCAGUCCUACAGAAGCCCUGUGUAGCCUUACAGUUACUUCUGCUUCAGUGGACCUUGUGACUGUAAGUGUCCCUUCUGCAAGACAACAGAAAAUGCUAAGGGAUCUGCUUCAAGGUACAUUACAGAAGCCCAGCCAAGCUGUGAUUUGAUAUUAAUACACUAGAAAUUGUUAGGGACCUGAAGCCUUUUUUCCUGUUAAAGAAAAAUAUUCUUUGGUAUUGGCUUGCAGCAGAUGUGUACCAGCAUACCAGCAGCAAGUUCAGCUUCUUCAGUGGUGUUAUUAAUUAUAAUUCAGUGCUACUGUAAUAACCUGAGUGUUAGAUAGAAAUGUACUUUAGAACAGUUCCAUGCAGUAAAUGUUUGGGAUGGAAAUGGAGAGACUCAAAAUUAAUUAAGUUAUUCAUCACAGUGCCAUAUAUGACAGUGAAAAUUCUCAUCCUGGCCCUCAGCUGGAUGGAUUUUCCAGUUGCUGUUAAAGUGUACUCACCAUCUGCAGAAUGGUAUGCAGUUGCCUCAUUAGAUAAAAUUCUUUGUCUGAACUAUUAAAAAAAAAGGAACUUGCAGAAAAUUCACCACGAAAAGUCAGCCUAUCAAAAUCAAAACACUGAAAGAAAGCAGCUAAUUUCAAUUUAUGUAUUGCUUUUUAAAUAACAGCAAAUAAAAAAAUGUAAAGCACAGUGCCUCCAACAGAGGCAUUCCCUACCUGUGAGUACUUUGCUUUCCUUGGCUUGCAAUGACCUUGUUUCAAAACAUAAUUCAUGUAGAAGUUAAAAAAAAAUUAAAAGAUAAAAUAAAAAUGAAAGAUUUUUUAAAAAUUGCUUUACUUGAGCUGUCUUUUCCUUCACAAUGAAAGAUAAAAAUGAGUUCCCAAAUAAAAGAUUUUCCAUGUAAACAAUCCUGUAAGCCAUUUAGAAAAGGCAGAAAAUAUGUAUUCCUAUACAUGCAUAGGUAAAUAAG
ensembl:lncRNA